UCAUGAUGUAAUCCUGCAGUGGCAGAAGGACAGUGAAGAGAUGUUUGUCCCUAGAAGGGCUUCCACGAGACCCAGGGAACUGCCAGUCCAGGUUCAGUCCAUCAAACCCAUACUGGCGCAGGAAUUUGAUGGCUGAGUUAAUGAAAGUCUGUUGGUUGUGUGGAGUGGAGACCAUGGCACUGAACCUGAGGGAGACCAAGAGAAGGCAGGACAGGAGCCUAGCAAGGGGCUCCACCAGCAGCUGACUCAGACAGAUGCAUGGACCCCACCAGCCAAACAUUGGAUGGAGUUUUGGGGAAUCUUAUGGAAGAGUUGGGAGAAGCAUUGAGGGCCCAAGAGGAGAUAGGAACUCCACAGUAAGACCAACAUAAUCAACUAGCCUAGGCCCUUGGGGGCUCUGAGAGACUGAUCCACCAACCGAAGAGCAUAGACCAUCUGGAUCUAGUCCCUUCCCUCAUGAUUAGCAGAUGUGCAGCUUAGUUUUCAUGUGGGUCCUGAACAACUGGAGCAGAGUAUAUCCCUAAAGCUGUUGCCUGACUGUGGAAUCAAUUUACCUAAAUCAGCUGUCUUGCCUGGCCAUAGUGGGAGAAGAAGUGCUUAGCCCUGUAGAGACUUGAUCUGCCAAGGUGGUGUGUGUGUGUGUGUGUGUGUGUGUGUGUGUGUGUGUGUGUGUGUGUAUGCCGUUCUCUCACAGGAGAAGGGGGUGGGAGGAAUGGUGGAGGGACUGUGGGAGGAGGGAUAGGGAGAGGGGACAGUGAUUGUGAUGGAAAGUGAAUGAAUAAGAAAAGAAAAAGUAAAGAAAAAUAGUGAGACAGGAAGAAAAAGUUCAAGAGACCUUUAUGUAAAGACUAUUCACCACAAAAAAAGGUGAGUGUGUGAAGUGAAAAUAUGCACUGAGGUCAUGAACCAUUCUAAAAUGUAGGCAUCAUUCAAAAUUCUUGUCCUGUGUGAUAAAUAUACAUAAAUGGUGUCAAUAAAAAUUGAUGACAUUGGUUGGGUCCU
rnacentral:lncRNA from 1 species